rnacentral:ncRNA from 1 species
UAAUGUAAUUGAAAAUGAUUAUCAAUCCCAACGACCCCCCACUACAAUUCGUUCUUAUGAUUGAGUCAUUUUCAAUAAUAUCCCCUUUUAUAUGCCCGUAUAAAAAUUCGUUGAUAUUAAACGUUAAAUAAAAGCCGUCGCAGUAAAUGCGGCGGCUUUU